rnacentral:rRNA from 1 species
GCAAGCGGACCUCAUAAAGUAUGUCGUAGUCCGGAUUGGAGUCUGCAACUCGACUCCAUGAAGUCGGAAUAGCUUGUAAUCGUAGAUCUGUAUGCUACGGUGAAUACGUUCCCGGGCCUUGUACACACCGCCCGUCACACCAUGGGAGUGGGUUGCAAAAGAAGUAGGUAGCUAAACCUUCGGGAGGGCGCUUACCACUUUGUGAUUCAUGACUGGGGUGAAGUCGUAACAAGGUAACCGUAGGGGAACCUGCGGUUGGAUCACCUCCUUACCUUAAAGAA